UACGGAGGGUGCGAGCGUUGUUCGGAAUCACUGGGCGUAAAGGGCGUGUAGGCGGUCUGUUAAGUCUGAUGUGAAAGCCCGGGGCUCACCCCCGGAAGUGCAUUGGAUACUGGCGGACUCGAGUCUCGGAGAGGAGGGUGGAAUUCCUGGUAUAGCGGUGAAAUGCGUAGAUAUCUGGAGGAACACCGGUGGCGAAGGCGGCAUCCUGGACCGGUAUUGACGCUGAGGCGCGAAAGCUAGGGGAGCAAACGGG
rnacentral:rRNA from 1 species